rnacentral:misc_RNA from 1 species
GUGAAUCAUCAAAUUUUUGAACGCAAAUUGCACUCUUCGGUUUUCCGGGAGAGAAUGCCUGUUUGGGGGUCAGCCUAAAUAAAAUCGGCUUCGUAGUUUGCUGUGUUUUUCACUGUAACGUUGGUCGGAAUUUGGGUCAUCUUAAACGGAAAGGUUUUUAAGCGACUUAAAAUUUUCUUACGAUCUCGAGAACGAUACUAAGAUUGUCUUGCAUGAUCAAGGUUUCGA